rnacentral:misc_RNA from 1 species
UCCGGUUUGUCACCGGCAGUCUCGCAUGAGUCCCCAACUAAAUGCUGGCAACAUGCGACGGGGGUUGCGCUCGUUGCGGGACUUAACCCAACAUCUCACGACACGAGCUGACGACAGCCAUGCACCACCUGUAUACCGACCACAAGGGGGGCCGUAUCUCUACGGCUUUCCGGUAUAUGUCAAACCCAGGUAAGGUGGGGAUGACGUUUACGUGCACUU